GGAAAACGUUCCGUCCGGUCCAGACGGGUCUGUCUCUUUUUCUCUAUUUUUUCGGCCCGGUGUCAUUCAACCGGACCUGUACCGGAGCUGUACGAUAAACUUCUGGCCGGUUUUGUCAGAAAGUGCUGCGUCUCGAUGCAGAUGCUCCGGGUGAAAUGAAUAAGGCUCCUCAGCCUCUGUCUGGACCCCCUCCGCCCCGCUUCCCUCGCCCUCCCCGGGUCUGUCCCAGCCCAGUUUUGCUCCUUCUCCUCUUCCUCCGGUUGUGUUCAGCUCCCCUCCACCGCAGAUGAACCCCGCAGCACAACCCCGACAGCCCUACUUUCCCCCUCAACCCACUUUACCUGCUAAUUCUGG